AACAAACGCUGGCGGCGUGCAUAACACAUGCAAGUCUAACGGGAAAGUCGGCUUCGGCUGGCAAGUACCGUGGCGAACGGGUGAGUAACACGUGGGUAAUCUAACCUCGAGUUUGGGAUAACCUUGCGAAAGCGGGGCUAAUACCGAAUAAGACCACGCUCUGUCCGCAGAGUGCGGUAAAAGGCGGCCUCUUCUUGAAAGCUGUCACUUGAGGAUGAGCCCGCGGCCUAUUAGCUAGUUGGUGGGGUAAUGGCCUACCAAGGCGACGAUGGGUAGCCGGCCUGAGAGGGUGUACGGCCACACUGGCACUGAGAUACGGGCCAGACUCCUACGGGAGGCAGCAGUGGGGAAUUUUGCGCAAUGGGGGAAACCCUGACGCAGCAACGCCGCGUGUGUGAUGAAGGCCUUCGGGUCGUAAAGCUCUUUUAGUGGGGAAGAAUCCCUUUCGGGCUAAUAUCCCGGGAGGAUGACGGUACCCACAGAAAAAGUUCCGGCUAACUACGUGCCAGCAGCCGCAGUAACAC
rnacentral:rRNA from 1 species